AUACUGCUGUUGAUGAUGUGAAUUUUGGAAAUAUUCUCCCCUAUUGGGUCUUUCUCCAUGACAGAUGAUGUCCUUUGGCUUCGGUUUUUUGCCUAAGAACUGUAAGUGGUGCUUGCUAGCCCUACUAAGAAUCCUGCCAUUGUUGCAAAUUUCAGAAAAAAGGUAAUGCAUUUAAGGAACUUUUCCCUUUGUUACAAUUAUUUUCUUUCUAUAUUAAGUAGCUUAUAAUUAGGAUAAAGAGAUUACAGAAACAGGGAUGGAGAAGGACGGGUUGAGGGGAGGAGAGAGAGUGCUGGAGAGACAAUAUCAUCACUAGGAAAAGACAUGAGUAAAAAAAUAGCGCAAACAAGAAUUAUGCUCCUCAAAAAAGAGCUUUCUGGUCACCUUGCAAGGAUUCUAUAAAAGUUACAGGUUACAAUCGAAAUAAGUAAAAUAUUUAGUUAACAAGGAAAUGUGCAUCGUGCACAUAAUUACUGAAAGUUAUUACCAGUCACUGUGGUAGGAACUGGGGAUUAGAGAGAGAACGGAUCUGUAGUUCUAGCCUCAAGGAGUUACUGUUUAGCAUUAGAGGCAAAAUGAAAAAGUACUCAUUGUUUCUGCCCAUGUUUGCAAAAAGGGGACAAGUUAUUGGUCCCCAAAGUAAAUGAGAUAAUGAGAAAAAACUUCAGGGAAAAAACUGAGAAUACUAUAGCUGAUUAACUUACUGUUUAGUUCUCUUAAAAAUAUCUACCUUCUUAUCAUUAUAAUUCUGGAAUGAAAAUCAGGAGGACUGCCUAGUACUGCCAAUUCUGACAGUGAUCUGGCUGGAGUGCAGUGGUGCACACGCCUCACACUGUGACACAGCGGGAGAGCCCAGAGCGACAGCUGUUGGAAUGACUGCACUCUUCCUGCUCAAGUCUGACCUUUCCAAGCCUUUGUCCUAUGUCUGGAGACUUCUUGGAAGCUGGAGCACACAAAUAGCUACAGCAAACUUGAGGAAUGGGCAUGAAUAGACUGGCUUCGGGGAACCUGCCAGCUUGGCCGUGUGGCCAAGGUAAUAGGCAAGCCAAGGCAGAGCUAGAGCUCAGAGCUGGAGGGGAAAUUAAAGCAGCAAAUGUAGAAACAUUAAGCCUGAAGAGGCGACGACGUUGAAUUCUAAAAUGCAGGCCAAAGCUCAGACUGCAAGCUGUCUGGCUGCUCCGGGUGUGCCCAGAAGUCAAAGUCCAGCAGGGGCAAAGGUGGAGGUGUGGUCCUGCACGUGGGGUGUUGGGGGGAUGUGGAAGAGGAGGUGCUUUAAGAUCCAGAGAUUCCAGCUGCCCUGGUGCACCCUUGGAAGAAUAAAAGGCUAGGAACUGGACAAGUCAGGCUCGAGUCCAAGCUGCCUGAGGAAUCGGGGAAAGAAUGGAGCUCAGAGUGGGAGGUCAGGGCAGUAUUUAAAAAUCCAGGAUAGCAGCAAAGCUGGCGGUGGCCCCUGACUCUGGUAAGGGCAGCCUGCAGCACCAUGCCAAGGGGGGCCUGACUGAUCAUGCCCUGCAUUUGCAAACAAGGAUUAGUAGGGUAUGAGUAGGAUUCUGCUGGUGCCUGGGAAGGCAGUGCCAUCUACAACUUUACAAAGUUUUAACAAAGGCCUGAAGGACACAACCUUCCCCAAAGUCCUGACGUCGCUGUUUGCUGGCAACAAAUAGAGUCAAAAGAAGAGAGGCACAGAAUGUGCCAGGGGUGUGCUGCGUACAGCCCCGAUGACCACAAGGCCUUCUUGGGUCAAGUUCUGCCAUCUCUGGUUAAGAUGGGCUCACCCUCUAGGACCCUGAUUGAGUCCUCGGACCACCAAGAGUGCCCCACCAAGAGCCUCCCUCUUCUGGUGACUCGUGCCUGCUUCCCGUGGAGAGCUCCAGAAGGGAGGAAACUGUGAGGAGGUGGAGAACGUGGCAGGGAUCCUAACUUUCUUACUGAAGGAAGUUCUUCACAAGUACCCAUCUGCCUUCAGGGAAGAAAACAUAACUCAUUUUGGUCUUUCAAAUUCAGUUCUCAAAACCAAAUCCUGUUGUCAGCAAUCUGUGUCCCAACGCCUUCUUCAGCAACAGCAUUUUCCCUGUGGAAUUAGUUUCCAAUGUUCUUUCUUAAAUAAACCACUGAAGAUUAAAAGGAAUCCAGAUACCCACCACAUUUUGUUUCCUUAAUGAGUAAUUAUCACAUUUCUUUGGCUACUUAAAUGCAUUCUCUGAGUCAGGUAAAGGAGAUCGUAAUAGUUAAUCAACAAGAAGUAAUUCUUGGGUACUUAACAAUAGUCUAAGCACUUAAUCAUACUUAAAAUUGACUAUUAAUGAACCUUAUAAACCAUUUUGCAAUUCUGAAAGUGAAUUUCUCUGCAGGCUUAGAGAUUACUAAGCCAUUUAGAUCUUACCAAACAAAUAUUAUUCAUGCUUUAAUUCCUGGGAAAAGAAAUUUAGAAAAUGAGGUUAAUGUUCAGUUGUCCUUUCCUGAGUUUAACAAUUAUAUAUUCCAUCUGGGAUGCUCUGAACUCAGGUUAAACAUUCUUCAAGUUAUUCCCACAUUUUUCAAGUUAUUCCCACGUUAGUGACCUACUUUAUUAGUAUUAUUACUAAAGAAAAGGGCUGGGUGCGGUGGCCCACAUCUGUAAUCCCAGCACUUUGGGAGGCUGAAGCAGGAGGAUCACUUGAGCUUGGGAGUUCAAGACCAGCCUGAGAGGGAGACUCCGUCUCUACAAAAAAAAAAAAAUUAGCCAGGUAUGGUGGCACGCGCUCAUGGGCCCAGCUACUCAAGGAGGCUGAGGUGGGAGGAUCACGUGAACCUGGGAGGCAGAGCCUGCAGUGAGCCCUGGUUGUGCCUCUGUACUCAAGCCUGAGAGACAGAGUGAGACCCUGUCUCCAAACAAUAAAGUAAAAUAAAUAAAUAAAUAAAUAAGAAUGCAAAUCAAAGACAUUAAGAAAUAGCUUUACUUUAAUGUAGGCAUUUAAGGUAAAAUAGGUCACAUUCUCUUUUUUAAAAAAAUUACUGACCCACAGAAAAACAAGUCAAAAAGCAGACUAUUUCAUAUUAGUGUCUUUUUUUUAAAGAGGAUUAAUAUAAAUUGCCUUCUCACCUGUUUUUAAAAUAAAGGACUGAAUGAUAGAACUUAGACAACAAAUCUAGUAGCAUGAUAAAAGCCUUUCUUUGAUAGCUAGAAAAGGUAAACAAAGAAUAAAACAGGGUGAAGAAGAAAGAGGACAGAUAGAAUGUGAAUAUUAUCUACCUUUUUCUCAAGAUAAAACUAAUAUUGCUUUCUAAAAAGAAGCAAUUCUUUAGAGCAGAGGUCAGCAAACUUUUUCUAUAAAGAGCCAGAUAUUAACUAUUUUAUAAUUUGCAAACCACAUAAGUCCUCUGUUUCAUAUGGGUUUUUUUCUUUUUUCUUUUUAAACAAUACUUUAAAAAUGCUGAAAAUAUUCUUAGCUUACAUCUACAAAAAAGCAGGCAGUGGGCUGAUUUGACUCACAGGUGGUAUAGCUUGCUAAUUCCUGCUUUAGAUUUUAAGAAUGAGGCAGAUGUUGCCAGAAUUUGCUCUAAUUUACUAUGAGGUUUGCAAAUAAAAGUGCUCUUGACAUGAAAACUUGCUAUUUUUAAUGGAAAGACAUGUACAGCCCUUUCUCAGGAAGUGGAGAUUAAUGCAUAAAAUUUUAUUUUCCUAACAUAAAGCAUGUUUUUUCAAAAAAUGGCUUCUCCAUCUUGUGGCCCUUUGAUUAUGAUAGCUCUGAAAGCUUUGAAAAGCUUGCAAAUACUCAACUUCAGGAAUAAAACCACCUAUGAGACCCUCACCUGAAGGCAGGAUCUUUCCUGCAGCCUUGAGUCUUCCUAAUCAGAACCAUUGUUUCGUAAACUGGACUCCGAAGACAACACUUAAAGUCACUCAAGUUCGCUACAAAAUUCUUGUUUUGUGUUUUCAUUUCUAAAGACAAUAAAAAUAAUUGAUAUGAUCAAGUUUGGGAUUAUCUAGAUGAUCUAGACAACUAUUGCGGUCAAAAUAGGCCUGAUCACAGGCAUUUUCAGUACCCAUGGAAUUCUAGAGCUUUGGAUACUUGUCUAGUCUGUUUGGGUCACUAUAACAAAAUGCCAUAAACUGGGUGCUUAUAAAGAACAGAAUUUUAUUUCCCACAGUUCUGCAGGCUGGGAAGUCCAAAAUCGAGGCAGAUUUGAUGUCCUCAAGUGAUGGAAGAAUCAAGAGGUCUCUCUGGGGGCUCUUUUAUAAGGGCACUAACCCCAUUCAUGAGAGCAGAGCCUAAUUACCUCCCUAAGGCCCCAACUCCUAAUACUAUCACCUUGAGGGUGAGGAGGGAAACAUAAAAAUACCAUAGUAAUACUAAUAGGUACAUCAGUGAAGAACAAUAUCACAGUAUCGUGUAGACAGGAAGAUUUUGCUGCAAUUUGGUUGUUAAAACAAAAAGUCGUGGGUGGAUACAAUCAUCAGACAGUUCAGAAGUGGCAUCCACGUACUCACCCAAAGGAGGUGCACUGCAGUUGUGGGAGCCCUGUGCUUGCUACUAGCAGUGACUUAAUUUCUGCAAAGCUAUGUGAUCACAUUCAACUAUGCUAGUUAACUUUAAUUUUACUGAAUUUGGUUUAGGUAGGUAGUUUGUAAAUUUAACUUUCUACUUGUAUAAGAAGUAUAAUUAUAAAAACAGCAGGUCAGCACGACAGGUCUGAGAGAAUCUGUAUUCUGUAAAAAAAUACCUAUUUCUUACUUGGCGAAAAACAUUAGUCAAUGUUGCACCAAAAACCCCCCAAAAGCUAUAGAUCAGAUAUUGACUAAAAUGAAUAUACAAAAAUCUUGACUGGAAAUAUUUUAAGUCAAAACUAACAGCCUAUUUCAGGUAUUGACAGAACAAAUUCCAGAAGCAGAAUAACUGAAACAAUCAUGUUGAAAUUAAUUAUAAUGGGCAGAAUUUGACUGAAACUUGUUACCACCUUCACCAAAAUAUAGCCUUUCUUAUACUAUCAAAUGUAUUGAAUAAAUUGUGAGCACUUUCUUGUACAACUUCUAAAAAUUUAGCUUUGCUUUUGUUAUCUGAAUAUUGUACAGGAAUAUGAGCAUGCAAAUAAGAUCUUUGUUUAGUUUCAAGUCUUUUUAUAACUAAAUCUGCUGGCAUUAGACAAUAAAUACAUUUUCAAAAUAUGAAUAGUCUCUCAUUUGAUUCAAAUUAGAUGAGUUGUUUUGCAUGUUUCUUAUCAAUUAUGCAAUUAUUGUCUUAGUUUAAAUAUAAUCUAAUAGCUGACGCUGCAUUCAUAUGCUAUGCUGGAUUCCUAGCUAAAAUGAAAUCAGUAUGCUAGUAAAAUAUUUUUCAUACAUG
rnacentral:lncRNA from 1 species